rnacentral:rRNA from 1 species
UACGUAGGGUGCGAGCGUUAAUCGGAAUUACUGGGCGUAAAGCGUGCGCAGGCGGUGAUGUAAGACAGAUGUGAAAUCCCCGGGCUCAACCUGGGAACUGCAUUUGUGACUGCAUCGCUGGAGUGCGGCAGAGGGGGAUGGAAUUCCGCGUGUAGCAGUGAAAUGCGUAGAUAAUGCGGAGGAACACCGAUGGCGAAGGCAAUCCCCUGGGCCUGCACUGACGCUCAU